rnacentral:rRNA from 1 species
UACGGAGGGUGCAAGCGUUAUCCGGAUUUACUGGGUUUAAAGGGUGCGUAGGUGGGCGAGUAAGUCAGUGGUGAAAUCUCCGGGCUUAACCCGGAAACUGCCAUUGAUACUAUUUGUCUUGAAUACUUUGGAGGUAAGCGGAAUAUGUCAUGUAGCGGUGAAAUGCUUAGAUAUGACAUAGAACACCAAUUGCGAAGGCAGGUUACUACCGAUGGAUUGACGCUGAUGGACGAAAGCGUGGGGAGCGAACAGG